rnacentral:rRNA from 1 species
AUUGAACGCUGGCGGCAGGCCUAACACAUGCAAGUCGAGCGGAUGAAGGGAGCUUGCUCCUGGAUUCAGCGGCGGACGGGUGAGUAAUGCCUAGGAAUCUGCCUGGUAGUGGGGGAUAACGUCCGGAAACGGGCGCUAAUACCGCAUACGUCCUGAGGGAGAAAGUGGGGGAUCUUCGGACCUCACGCUAUCAGAUGAGCCUAGGUCGGAUUAGCUAGUUGGUGGGGUAAAGGCCUACCAAGGCGACGAUCCGUAACUGGUCUGAGAGGAUGAUCAGUCACACUGGAGCUGAGACGCGGUCCAGGCACCUACGGGAGGCAGCAGUGGGGAAUAUUGGACAAUGGGCGAAAGCCUGAUCCAGCCAUGCCGCGUGUGUGAAGAAGGUCUUCGGAUUGUAAAGCACUUUAAGUUGGGAGGAAGGGCAGUAAGUUAAUACCUUGCUGUUUUGACGUUACCAACAGAAUAAGCACCGGCUAACUUCGU